AUGCAGGUACAGUGACAAGCUAGGAAGUAGAACUGACAAAGCUAUUGGUGAGACACACGGCGGCGUGCCAGGUCAAUCGGCGGUUCCUAGAAAUCAACUGGUCGAUGAGUGAGCGGAGUUCCGCCCCGCCGGCAGACAGGAAAGAUGGCCGCCGCCGUCCAUCCGGAUGCCUUCAGGAAAGAAUGCCAUCGUUGUAGUAAUGCCACCAGAGAACUGGAUCUGGAGACGUGGAUGCGUUCGUUUGGCGGACAUGGAGGUUCUACAUCUGCUUAAAAGCAAAGCGUGUCGCAAAACAAAAGCCCCUCUGCUCUGUGAUGCAAAGGCAGGAUGAUUGUCGGAUGUCAGCAGGUGGAAAUAUUCAAACAAGACAACAUUCAGCUCAGGGAAUUGUCAAGAAAUAAAAAGAGGAAGGAAAAAAGAAA